rnacentral:tRNA from 1 species
GGGGGCGUGGUGAAGCACGGAGUUCACGCCGGCCUGUCAAGCCGGAGGUCGCGGGUUCAAAUCCCGUCGCCCCCG